UGGGGAAUCUUGCACAAUGGGCGAAAGCCUGAUGCAGCAACGCCGCGUGAGGGACGAAGGCUUUCUGAGUUGUAAACCUCUUUCAGCAGGGACGAUGAUGACGGUACCUGCAGAAGAAGCCCCGGCCAACUACGUGCCAGCAGCCGCGGUAAUACGUAGGGGGCAAGCGUUGUCCGGAUUUAUUGGGCGUAAAGAGCUCGUAGGCGGCUUGGCAAGUCGGAUGUGAAACCUCCAGGCUUAACCUGGAGUCGCCAUUCGAUACUGCUAUGGCUAGAGUUUGGUAGGGGACCACGGAAUUCCUGGUGUAGCGGUGAAAUGCGCAGAUAUCAGGAGGAACACCAGCGGCGAAGGCGGUGGUCUGGGCCAAUACUGACGCUGAGGAGCGAAAGCGUGGGGAGCGAACAGG
rnacentral:rRNA from 1 species